rnacentral:rRNA from 1 species
GAUGAACGCUGGCGGCGUGCCUAAUACAUGCAAGUCGAGCGAACAGACGAGGAGCUUGCUCCUCUGACGUUAGCGGCGGACGGGUGAGUAACACGUGGAUAACCUACCUAUAAGACUGGGAUAACUUCGGGAAACCGGAGCUAAUACCGGAUAAUAUAUUGAACCGCAUGGUUAAAUAGUGAAAGACGGUUUUGCUGUCACUUAUAGAUGGAUCCGCGCCGCAUUAGCUAGUUGGUAAGGUAACGGCUUACCAAGGCGACGAUGCGUAGCCGACCUGAGAGGGUGAUCGGCCACACUGGAACUGAGACACGGUCCAGACUCCUACGGGAGGCAGCAGUAGGGAAUCUUCCGCAAUGGGCGAAAGCCUGACGGAGCAACGCCGCGUGAGUGAUGAAGGUCUUCGGAUCGUAAAACUCUGUUAUUAGGGAAGAACAAAUGUGUAAGUAACUAUGCACGUCUUGACGGUACCUAAUCAGAAAGCCACGGCUAACUACGUG